rnacentral:lncRNA from 1 species
UGUGUCCUUCCUCAUGUCCAAACGGCAAGGUGACAAGAUAAAAGUAAAAACAGGGGGUGGAUGUUGCCAUAUAUCACAUGAUUGCAUUUGUAAUUUAUGAUAUGAGACAGACUAUUUGUCGAUUUGUCAUUUUCUGGGUUUGUCGACAGUCAUACCAUAUGCUAAACGUGUCACCAAAGUAGAACUAAAAAGAAGGUGCAGAGGAAACUACUGCAACACAACAUCGAGAGAUGCAAGGUUUUGGUUU